CCUACGGGAGGCAGCAGUGGGGAAUAUUGCGCAAUGGGCGAAAGCCUGACGCAGCGACGCCGCGUGAGGGAUGAAGGUCCUCGGAUCGUAAACCUCUGUCAGCAGGGAAGAACGGUAACUGUGCUAAUCAGCAGUGAAUUGACGGUACCUGCACAGGACGCACCGGCUAACUCCGUGCCAGCAGCCGCGGUAAUACGGAGGGUGCGAGCGUUAAUCGGAAUUAUUGGGCGUAAAGCGCUCGUAGGCGGUAUGUCAAGUCAAGGGGGAAAUCCCCGCGCGAAACGUGGGAACUGCCUUUGAAACGGGCAAACUGGAGUGUGUGAGAGGUUAGUGGAAUUCCAGGUGUAGGGGUGAAAUCCGUAGAUAUCUGGAGGAACAUCAGUGGCGAAGGCGACUAUCUGGCACAUAACUGACGCUGAGGAGCGAAAGCGUGGGUAGCAAACAGGAUUAGAUACCCGGGUAGUC
rnacentral:rRNA from 1 species